ensembl:lincRNA Gm26681 predicted gene, 26681
ACAGAGGCAAGCAGAGGUGACUUGGGGAGGUCCACCUCCUGUCAGGGUGCUAUGCCUGCAUGGGCCAGUAGGUUCUUCCAGACCUAAGUACACAGAGAGAGAGCUGUGUAACUCUCAGGGAAGCUCCUUCCUCACUGUCUGAGAGUUUCCUAUUCUGGCUAUGAGCAUUCCCUACGCCCCUCACCACACAGGAUCUGCAGAGACACAAAAGGACCAGGUAUUUUCAGCACCUGUGGCCACACACCAACUCAGGUGGAACCACCCUGACCCCUGACGUGCGAGGGCUACGCAGCAGGGUCGGAAAGACAGCCAGUUGAAUGGACCGAGAGCGCAAGUGACCCCGAGGCCUCCCCCCGGAGCUGUCUCCGGGCCCAGGGAGGUAUCAGGCAUUGGAACUGCACCACGGGGAACCCCGUCCCUCGCGCGCGUGGGGAGACCAACCGUAGUCAGUCCUCCGGGCCAAGCACAUUUCGCUGGCCCCGCUUACCCUGCACGGCUCCCUCGGCCCCGCAGGAGAGGUAGUGGCGUAGCCGGAGGCAGACAGCGACCACACACCGCGCGCCCAGCUCUCCAGCGCCGGUCCGCGUCAACAGAGCCUUAACGCGUGGAAGCAAACCCCAGCAGACGCCGAGAAGCUGUCUCCGCCUACGUGCACUUUGCGUCACCGGGUGGGCAGGACGGCGUUGAUGCGCGUGUGCCAUGGCGUUUGCCAGCCACGCAGGCGCAAUAGCCAUGUGCUCUUUGGGUGUUUAUUUUUCUUUCUGCCAGUAGGGGGCUCUGGAGCUCCUGCUUAUCUUGGAUCCUUCUAACAAGUCCUGAGGUGUGGGAGGAACAGAGCCUUGUCUUGACUAGAGUAGGAGUUACUUCAAUCUCAUCCAUCACCUCGUCCUUCUGUAGGCUUUCCUCCUGCAUCCCUCCACACCCGAGUUGCUUCUUUUACUUUCAAGGGAAUUCGUGAUAGGAUAUGCAUUCACAAUAGAGAAUGCGGUGCUAUCAAGCGUCCUUUAUCCUUGGCCAUAUUUUCUGAUGUCUUCCUAGAAGCCACAAGGUUGUCAGCUCCUAACUGCAGCGAGACUCUGGAUGUAUGUCCCUAAUUCAUUUGUCUGAAUAUCUCCCAAGUUGUCUUUUCCCCACCGAACCAGGACUCCGCUUCUUCCUGCCCACGUGAUGGCAUCUAUACAUUGGGGUGCAGGACACUGGUCUUGUUCCUGGAGGACAUCCCUGUCUAUCGGCUGGGAAAGCCUAAAAGCAAGGAUUUCUAAUGAAAAGAUGGGGUACUCAGGGAGUGAGUGGGUGGAUGCUAACCACAGAGUGCGGGGAUACUGUGUGAGAGUAGGGUUGGCAAUCGCUAUUAGUCCCGCGAAACUAUUGUAAACAGCAUGUGAGCAGCUCAUUGGACCUUGCCUUGUCUCACUUUAAUAAAACCACCAAGAUCUGAUU